rnacentral:lncRNA from 1 species
AAAACUAUGCACUGACUUUGUUUUCUCAGUUUUAAAGAAGAUGCAAAAUUUAAAUUUUACAAAAAGCUUAAAAGAAAAAGAGCAAUUAUUAACUAAAGUACCUAGGAUUGUGCACAUAACAAAUACCAUAUCAUUUAUUUGAAGAAAUGUACCCAGCAAUAAUUUUAUUGUAAUUUUAAUUUAAGAAAAAUAAUUUAUAGAAAUAAAAUCAUGGAAUAUCACCAUCAUAUUCUUUCAAAUCAUUGUUGAAUUUAAAAUUUAAGUCUUUUUGUUAUAUGCAAAUCUCAACUAUUUUUGUCCUUUUUUUUUAAUUUUUUCUUGGUUUAUCAUAUUUUUGCAAUUUUUCAUUUGUCAUAUGAUAUCAAUUCAAUUUAUCGUGUUCUUUUUGAGUCAUUCCCGCGUUGUUCUCUCGAAACUCUUCUAGUUAACAUUCACAUUAUUAAGUUUUCAAAUUUCGCGCUUGAACAAUAAUUGUCAUGAGAUUCUAUUUCGAGAAUCGUUUGAUUUUGACUAAGAAGAAAUUGGGUGUGUUAACAGAAUCAUGUUUCCUUUGAUAUAAUAAGCUUAUUUUAUAGUGUGCUUGUUUUAAUAGAAUUGAGACCUUAUUUUAAUAGUCUACUUGUUUUGAUAGAAUUGGGGUUCUAUUUUUAAAUAGUGUGCUUGUUUUCAUGAUUUUUGUAUUCUCGCAAUUUGUUACGAUUCUUAUAGUUCCCCUCAUAACGUUAUGCUCCGCAAAAUGUCAUGUACUAAUUUAUUAUUUAUUUCUUUGCUGCAUGGAAUCUUGAAAUGAGUCCAUGAGACUCUCCAUAUCCUUACAUCUCUCCGGGAUCAAGUCCCAAAAGUUCAAAGGGACUAGCGAAAAACGAGGCUGGUAAACACUAGUAUACGCAAUAUAUAUGGGGGCUUUGCAAGUCAAAGAUGGCUGGAAUAAGCCAAGAUAUGAUGUAUAAUGAAGCUGGAAGCUUGUACACGGAUUUUUAUAUGCUGAUAUACAAUGUAUAUACAAAAAAUAAAGGGGAGAUAUUCAUGAUAUACUGUUGAUAUACACUUCAGAAAAUGGACCCAAAGUCCAUAAUUCAAAGCUCAAAAGCUGGACAGCUUUAUUGAUGAGCCCAUGAAGGGUUCAAUUUCAAUUUUUGUAUUAUUUUUGUAGUUUAUUUUAGGAUAAAAUUCAC